UUAUCAUUAUGUGAGCAGCUAGUCAAAGUCCAACUCAUAUUGGAAAUAAGGAAAAUACGUGCAUUUUGAUGAUAGGAAAGUAAAGAGAGAAUAACUUCUUUUUCAAAAUUUUCUCUGGAAAAGGAAAAGUCAUGGCUUACUAGAUAGUUCAAAAAUUUCAUUGUAAAUUAAUUUAUAACUGUAUUUAUAGGGUGUAGGGUGGUAUGUAUUAUGAAAAAUGUAGAAUAAUUAAAAAGCUAAUUAAUAUAUAAUUACCUCAAAUACAUAACAUUUUUUUACUUUAAGUAUUUCUUGAUUUGCUUUUCAUAAGUAAACUAGCCAUUAAUGGGAACUGGAUGGCUCAUACAACAGAGUCCACAAAAGUUGGAUGGUUAAUAGUAUAUGGAAAAAUAAAAGUUUUGAUUAUAUGAAGAAAGAAGAAGAUUAAGGAAAGGCUUCGAGUUU